rnacentral:lncRNA from 1 species
AGGCAGAGUUGCAGAAUGUGGCCAGGCAUGUCGUUAAUCUUUUGCGUAAUGCCCUCGCUGCAACCGAAUCAAGCUGUUCCUCACCGGGGAUGAGUAAUUUAAUUGUGUUGUGCUCAUUUAGUUUUAAAUUGAGACAAUAUAGACUAUUUCUAUUUAUUUCUGCAGACGAAGGUCAGGUUCAGAGAGAGCAGGGCAGCAGGGUCCAGUCUGCAGUUAGAGCGCAGCAAAGUUUAUCUGCACCAGGGACAGUGGACCACAGUAUGGCAAGAGCAUUUCCUGGUUUGUUUAAGAGUCUAAAAACCCCUACAGCAAAUUCCAAAAAAAGACCCAGCAGGUCAACACCAGUGCAGUUUUUUUUGAUAAACAAGAGCACUGAUAGAACCCCAAAGGCCUUCGAUGAGUCAACUCUUUUACAGGCUGGUUUAGGACGGAGGACUGUUGCCAUCCCAGAAGAUGCAAAUCACUCAGAGAUAUCCAAACUACUUACAGAGACUUAUACAAAAAUGGCAUCUUUGGAAGGAGCCUGGAUGCUCUAUAAAGCUGUUGGUGGGUCAGGUCAGCGGAAGUUGAAUGUUGUCCCACCAGAAGCUGAAGGAUAUACAGGAUCCUACAUCAUUAAAACGGCAGGAGGAAAGGGCUGUCUGUAUAUCCUGCCAUUACAGAACAGUCUAGAUAUCUCCCCUUUACCCUAUUCAUCAAAAGAAUUUGAAAAACUGCCAAAAGCACGAUGUGCUACAUGCUUUACCGACAUGCCAAUUCAACUGCUGGCUAUGCAUGUUCAGGAGUGUGAGACAGGGAUAUGCAUUGAUAGCAGUGAUUGUGAAUCGGUAAACUUCAUAAUCUUUUUAAAAUUUUAAUUGUUUUAUUUAUUUUAACACAUAAAAUUAGUCAUAUUUCAUGAAAUAUUGGUCAAUUAUUUUUAAUACACAGUUACUGUUUAAUUUGUCUCAGGACUCUGAAAUGCCACCCAUUUCUACAAAAGUGAAUCAAUCCAGUGUCAAUGUAGGUUGUUCAGUACCAUCAUUCCAGAUUAAGAUACUAAAACUGC